UGAAUACGAGACGCUAAGGCGUCGAAGUAGUGUAUGUCAUACUUCCAAGAAAAGCUUGCACUGUCAUAGAUAAAAAACGCCUGUACCAUAACCGACACAGGUGGGUAGGUAGAGUAUACUAAGGGGCGCGAGAUAACUCUCUCUAAGGAACUCGGCAAAAUAACUCCGUAACUUCGGGAGAAGGAGUGCCUUAUUCGUAAGGUUGCAAUAACAAGAUCCAAGCAACUGUUUAUCAAAAACACAGGUCUCCGCUAAGUCGUAAGACGAUGUAUGGGGGCUGACGCCUGCCCAGUGCCAGAAGGUUAAAGAAGUUGGUUAGCAAUUGCGAAGCUGAUAACUGAAGCCCUGGUGAACGGCGGCCGUAACAAUAACGGUCCUAAGGUAGCGAAAUUCCUUGUCGGGUAAGUUCCGACCCGCACGAGAGGCGUAAUGAUUUGGAUACUGUCUCGGAGAGGGGCUCGGUGAAAUAGACUCGUCUGUGAAGAUGCGGACUACCUGCACCAGGACAGAAAGACCCUAUGAAGCUUUACUGUUACUUGAAAUUGAAAUUGGACUUUAUUCGCGCAGUAUAGGUGGGAGGCGUUGAUUAUAAUCUUGUGGGAUUAUUGGAGCCAUCAGUGAGAUACCACUCUUGUAAUGUUAGAUUUCUAACUUUGAAUCAUUAUCUGGUCAAAGAACAGUUUCAGGCGGGCAGUUUGACUGGGGCGGUCGCCUCCUAAACGGUAACGGAGGCGUACAAAGGUUUCCUCUGAACGGUUAGAAAUCGUAUCUAGAGUGUAAAGGCAUAAGGAAGCUUGACUGUGAGACCUACAAGUCGAGCAGGGACGAAAGUCGGCCUUAGUGAUCUGACGGUACUGAGUGGAAAGGCCGUCACUCAACGGAUAAAAGUUACUCUAGGAUAACAGGCUGAUCUCCCCCAAGAGUUCACAUCGACGGGGAGGUUUGGCACCUCGAUGUCGGCUCAUCGCAUCCUGGGGCGGUAGUACGUCCCAAGGGUUGGGCUGUUCGCCCAUGAAAGCGGUACGCGAGCUGGGUUCAGAACGUCGUGAGACAGUUCGGUCCAUAUCCGGUGUAGGCGUUAGAAUAUUGAGAGGAGCCUUCUUUAGUACGAGAGGACCGAGAAGGACAUACCUCUGGUGUACCAGUUAUCGUGCCAACGGUAAACGCUGGGUAGCUAUGUAUGGAGUGGAUAACCGCUGAAAGCAUCUAAGUGGGAAGCCCACCUCAAGAUAAGUAUUCUC
rnacentral:rRNA from 1 species